AUUGAACGCUGGCGGCAGGCCUAACACAUGCAAGUCGAACGAGUGGCGGACGGGUGAGUAAUGUCUGGGAAACUGCCUGAUGGAGGGGGAUAACUACUGGAAACGGUAGCUAAUACCGCAUACCAUCGGAUGUGCCCAGAUGGGAUUAGCUAGUAGGUGGGGUAAAGGCUCACCUAGGCGACGAUCCCUAGCUGGUCUGAGAGGAUGACCAGCCAAACUGGACCUGAGACCCGGUCCAGACUCCUCGGGGAGGAGGCAGGGGGGAAUAUUCGCAAAUGGGCGAAAUCCUGCUGCGCCAAUGCGGCGUGUUUGAGGAAGGCCUCCGGGUUGUAAAGUCCUUUAAUCGGGGCGGCGGUACCCGAAGAGGAAGCCACGGCUAACUACGUGCCAGCAGCCGCGGUAAUAC
rnacentral:rRNA from 1 species